AAAGCUUCACCUAGAAAGCCCCCUCUACAUACUUUCACCUACAAAGCUUCACCAUCAAAGCUUCACCUCGAAAGCUUCAUCUACAAAGCUUCACCAUCAAAGCUUCACCCAAAAAGCUUCACCUAAAAAAUCUUCACCCAAAAAAAACUUCACCUCCAAAAAGCUUCACUCAAACAGCUUCACCUAAAAAAGCUUCACCCACAAAGCUUCACCCAAAAAACUUCACCCGAAAAGCUUCACUUAAAAAAAAAGCUUCACCUACAAAGCUUCACCUAAAAAAGCUUCACCUAGAAAGCUUCACCUACAUAGCUUCACCCAGAAAGCUUCAUCUACAA
rnacentral:lncRNA from 1 species